UCCUCAUCAUCCUCAUCAGAUUCAUCAUCAUCAGAUUCAUCCUCAGCUUUGAUUUCUUUUUUUGGCUCUACAGGCUUAGCCUUUUGUUUCGCAGAAGAAUCAGUCUUUGCAACAAUAGACUUUCCUUUGGCAGGCUUUGUAUCCUCAACCAUUGGCUGAACAUUUCCAUUGUCUGCAUUCAUCAAUGGAAAUAGUUCUUCAUCUUCUGAAUCCUCAUCAGAAAAAUCCUCUUCUUCUUCCGGCAAACGACUUUUAUAACCACAUAAGUAAACACUCCCAUUUUUCCAGUUGUGAGAUAUCUCAACCUCUCUUUCAAAAACCAAAUCAAAAGACAACUGAGGGAUUAAUUGAGGAGAAAGUGUUCCCAAUACAAUCUUGCUGUCAUCAAUCUUUAAAAAAA
rnacentral:misc_RNA from 1 species